UUUUUUUUUUUUUUUUGUCUUUUUUUUGUCUUUUCUGGGGCCACUCCCGCGGCAUAUGGAGGUUCCCAGACUAGGGGUCCAAUCGGAGCUGUAGUCGCCGGCCUACACCAGAGACACAGCAACGAGGGAUCCGAGCCACGUCUGCGACCUACACCACAGCUCAUGGCAAUGCCGGAUCGUUAACCCACUGAGCAAGGGCAGGGAUCGAACCCGCAACCUCAUGGUUCCCAGUCGGAUUCGUUAACCACUGUGCCACAACGGGAACUCCUGUUUUAGGGUCUUUUGGGAAAGCAAUUUAGCAACAUUUAUUAAAACUAAAAAUAGGAGUUCCUGUGGCUCAGCAGGUUACAGACCUGACUAGUAUCCAUGAGGAUGCAGGUUCAGUCUCCGGCCUCGUUCAGAGGGUUAAGUAUCCAGUGUUGCCAUGAGCUAUGGUGUAGGUCACAGAUGCUGCUUGGAUCUGGCAUUGCUGUGGUUGUGGUGUAGGCCGGAAGCUGCAGCUCCAAUUCGACCUCUAGCCUGGGAAUGUCCAUAUGCCGAAGGUGCAGCCCUAAAAAGAAAAGAAAAAAACCUAAAAAUAGGAGUUUCCUCUGUGGAGUUCCCGUCAUGGCGCAGUGGUUGACGAAUCCGACUAGAAACCAUGAGCCACUAUGGGAACUCCUAAAAGAGUUUAUGAUUAGAUGGUAGCCCAAAAUGCUGUUUUAUACUAUGCCUAGUACAGAGUACGGUCUUGAAAAGUAUUGGUUGGGUCAACAGAGACAAAAUUGGGAAGAGCAUGUAAAAAGGUUUAGCUUAGUGAUGACCAUUUUGUAAUGUAUAGAGAUAUCAAAGAAUUAUAUCGUGUAUCAGAAACUAGGAUGACGUCGUGGGUCAAAUACGCUUUAAAACCAAAGGAACUCAUAGAAAAAGAGAUCAGAUUAGUGGUUACUAAAGGUGGGGGGGCAAGGGGACCAGAAAUUGGAUGAAGGUGGUCAACAGGUACAAACUUUCAGUUAUAAGACAAACAAGUACCAGGGAUGUAACGUGCCACAUGAUAAAUAUAAUUAACACCGAAUGAUACAUAUGUAUAUGAAAGUGGUUAAGAGGGUAAAUCCUAAGAGUUCUCAUCACAAGGAAAAAAUUUUUUUCUUUUAUUGUAUCUAUGUGAGAUGAUGGAUGUUCACUAAACUUAUUGAGACAAUAAUUUAAUGAUGUUAUGUAAAUCAAAUCAUCAUGCUGUACACUUUAAACUUACAUCGUGCUGUGUGUCAAUUAUAUGUCAAUAAUCCCGGAAAAAUGUGAUAGUAGAAUAAGUGUUUUAAAAUGUGAAUGUAAUUACUAUUUUUUAAAACAUGUAUAAAAAGGUUUAGUUCACAUAAACUUAGAUUUAGUCAAUAAUCUCACCUAUUCAAGACUUUUCCUUGAAUAGAUUUUCCUCCCUUUCUCUCUCUCUUCCUUCUCUCUUUCCUUCCAUCCUUCCUUCCACUCUUCUCUUUCACCAUUUUCAGAAGGAAAGACUCCAGUGAAAUUGAAAUUCUAAAUCCUGUUAACCUUACUUAGACCCUGUUAUUGCACCAUUUAACAAUGAGACAACAUCAUCAGCUCUUCAAUCAUGAGCUUUAAAUGCCAAAAUGUGUUGAGCAAUUUUCAAAGUAUGAACGUUCCAUAGGAAAAGAAUGUCUAACAUUAAAAACAAACAAAAACAAAGCAGACAGUUCAUUAGAAACUCGUAAUCUGUGACAACCAAGAUAAUGUCACUAACAGGUUUCAGGAAGGGUCUCCAGACUGUGGAGAAACAAGAGCAGCACAUCUAGAAAGAAGGUACAUUUUCUCCCUAAUGAUGGUCAUUAAAGGAAAAGGCUGGGACCUCCAUGGAAAAACGAAAAUGUUCCCAGGGUCGAAGUGCUGCUUGGUUGGCAAGGCUCCCACAUCAACAGCAAAACAACUGCAUAGCAACCUACCUAUAACCCAUUUCUCACCCUUGACUGUCCAGGGAAAACUUCCCUACUAUUCCCGGUCUGCUCCGUAAAUUUUGUCAAAGGGGAGUUGAGCCUGUCUGUCCGCCAAGUCCUAGAGCAACACAGGCUGGCAUUUCCCAGCACAUGCUGUUCACCACGUGGGCUCUUGGAGCUCUGCCUCUUAGCUUCAGAGGCGUUUGAGCCCCCGCCCCUCCCCCAUUUCCUCUCACAAAGACAACACGCAAUAACAAUUACCAAGUGUGUGUGUGAGCUCCCAACUGACCGAGUACCUUAGAUCUGGUGGCCUGUGCUAUGAAUAUUAGGAAAGAGCUUUCAGCUUGUUUUUUGCCAUCUCAAGAGUACACAGAGUUCACAGUAAGAGCAAAAUAACAGUCACUUCUAAAACAAAGAAAACCCACUCUGAAUGCUGCAUUGCUAGGACCAUUUGCCAUCUGCUAAUUUCCUCAUGGCAGCGCUGCUUAUCGGGGCUCCAGCAAAAGCACCAACAUGCAAAUCCAGACCCGAGUACUUUUCCUCUUUCCAAGAGGGUGUUUCCUUGAACUUUCCCAUCUGCCUCUGAGUAAGAUGUAGAAAAUAUUAUUUAUAAAAUAAGACUAGCAAAUGACUCACAGUGAAUAAAAAUAAAUCAGGGUGCAGUUUGUCAUCUUGAUGAGAAAGAAAGCAAAAUGCUCCACAAUUGGAGAUACAACUCACUUUUUCAACUCUCCUCAAGGAACAUCUUCAAAUGAUAGGCAGGAAAUGGGUUUGU
rnacentral:lncRNA from 1 species